rnacentral:lncRNA from 1 species
UCAUUUUACAGAUGAGCCAACUGAAGUCCCAAGAUCACUCACCUCAUUGGUUACAGAUCUUGGAGCCCAGGGACUCUCAAUUCAGGACCAGUAUGCUUUGCAUGACAUGCAGGAUGUAUCUGAGACACAAACUGUGGUUUGUUCUCUUUUCUUCCCAAUGCAUCCUGCGUACAGUAUGCUUUGCAUGACAUGCAGGAUGUAUCUGAGACACAAACUGUGGUUUGUUCUCUUUUCUUCCCAAUGCAUCCUGCGUACAGUCUCCCUACCCCCUUCCCCCAUGAAUCCAUGUUUGUUGUUUCCCAGGAGAUACAGAUGAUGGUCCCAGACUCUGUCCAUUCUGAUCUUUGGCAUGGACCCCUAAAUCCAGCCAAAUGCAGCACCCACAGUCCCUUGCCUGAACAAGAUAUGGGCUUUUCUAUCUCUGUCAUUAUUCACCAUUUACUGUGGUUGGCAUGCCUUCUUCCUGCCAGCUCCACAGUUCGAGGUGCCACUAUUCUUUCAGAUGCAUCACACAUGCUACUUCUUUUAUGAAACUUGCAGAGUCUCAGAGUUGCAUGAGAUUUGUCACUCUUGUUGAGAGAAAGAGGACAGAGUGGAGAAGAAAAGGGAAGGGAGAAAAUGGGUGGAAUUUAUGGCCCUAGAUAUGAAGCUUGGAGAUGACUGAAGUGAUAGAUGACUCCAAGGAUAAUCAAUAGCCAUGAGAGUUAUGGCUUAUUGAAAGCUUACUAUUUCUUGGGAGAGUGCAAUGUUAUCAUCUCCUUAAAUUCUACUGCAAGUCGUCAGGUUUCUGCAGCUGGGAUUUAAGCCCAAUUCUGCCUGAAGCCAAAACUUGUGUUCUCUUUCACUGUUGUCUCCUAAGACAAUUGGUUGUGAGGUAGAAAAAGAACUGGAUAAUCCUCAAAAUGGAAAAUUAAAAAGAUGAAACUAAAUUGGGGUCAUGGGUUGAGACAAUACAGUGAGAGACACUGGAAUUGGAAGAAAUGAGGCAUGAGGCCAGAGUGGAGCUCCCUUAGGACAAUGCUUUUGGCUUCUGGAGCCUUUAUUACAAUGAGGCAGCUCAGGACUUACAGUGUUCAUCUGAGUGCCGGGAAUCGUACUGUCAUGGUGCUUCUCAUGGCUUUUUCAUCUUGCUUUGUGUUAUAGGGCUUUGGGUUCACAAGCUCUCUGAAGGAGCUGACUGUGAAGGCAAGGACUGUGUCUAUGCCUUUUUUAAGGAGACGCACAGUUUGUCUUAACCAAGUGGACACAUGAGAGGCACAGAGAGGGGUGCACCUCAGUCUACCCAAGGAUAUGGAGUGGGGGCUUUAUGGAGACCUGAGGGGCCCAGGCACAGAAAAGAGACAAAGUGAGGGAACACUUGAGGCAGAUGGCAGGGCACAUGCUUAGGGAGGAAAGCUUGGAAAGGCACAGGCAGAGUGUUUAAGGAUGUGCCCAGCAUGUAAUCUAGAGAAAGCAGUCAGAGGAAAUGAGACUGGAGAGGCAGCUCGAGGCAGGGCAUAUAUGUGAAAGUCACUCGCACCCCCUCUUAUCAUAUGACUCCAGGCAGUCCUCCAACCCGUCCUCCAACCCACCCACUCGAGCUUCCUGCCUUCUGACAGGUUUCCUUAUUUCUGAGCCUCUCGUAACAGGCCCAGUAUAUCCUUCCUUGCUCAUGUAAAGAAUUCCACUCAUCUUUCAAGACAUUUUAAACAGAAGUCCUGUGAGGCCUGCCUUGAGACACUCACACUCAAUUUACUUUCUUCAGAAGUGUCUUUUCUACUUCUCUGUUCUAGCACAGCCACAAUGUUUCAUCUGUUUCCCCUACUAUUGUGAGGGCUUCUUCCACAAGAAGAAUUUUGUCUUCUCUUUGCACCCCCAUUACCAGCACAUAGUAAGCGCUCAGCACAUUUGAUAAUGGAAUGGCUCUGAUUUUACAUUCCUGUAUUUUUCCGGCAGAUAGUGAGUAGUCAGCGGGGACUCAUGCAUGACUCUGGGAAAAGUAGAGGGUAAUUUUUUUAUUUGCUUUUCGAGGGCUGAUCAGGGCUCCUUAUUUUUAUGGCGGCCAGCAUCCUGCUCACCCUGACUCCCUCCAGCUUCUGGUACCUGCAUAUCCAGGCUAUGUUAAUUUCCCUGCAUUUUUCCUCUUUGUCACUUUUUCUUUUUUUUCUUCAAAGAGCGUCGCAAUCUCUCAGGAGUUUGAUUAUAUUGCAAGAUGAAUAGGAUAUUUGAAUUAUGCUAUUUAAAUGAGUCAUCUCAACCCUAGUGUAAUUGUUCACCCCCUGUCACACUAAACGUGACCUACAUUUUUAAAAGAGUGCUUUUGGCCUGAAUAGAGGAUUGCUGAAAUUGUUGGGUUCCAGUUCUCAGCAAUUUAUCAUUUGUUAUCACCGAGUGUGUCUUUUGUUUCACAUCUGGGCAGAUGUGAACUUUUAAAACUGUCUCUCACUAGACCUAUCAAAAGAAGCUGCUUUUAUUUGCAAAAAGAAGGUGAACUGAUUUCCUGGGUGUUUAUGUGUGUGUGGUAUGUGGAGGGGCACAGAGGAGCAGCAGAGUUCAUUAAACAGAAGAUGUCUGGUCUUGGCUAAGCAGUUUAAAAACAUAUAGGAGUACUUAUGCUGAAUUGAUUCACAUUUUGGUUCUGUGGCCUGAAACUUGCUUGUUUCACCCUUCUUUUUUGAGAGUUUUGGUUGCUCUAAAACUAAGCCUGUAUUAAUGCUCUUGAGAUGGAUCAACUGGGGAGCCCUGUCAUGCCUUACCAUUUUUUCAUCUUGGAGUCAAGCUGCAGGACAGGAUUCUUAUACUGCCCAAAUGAUUGGAGGCACAUUUCCCUCCAUUGUCCAUUUCUUUGACAGGCUGUGAAACAUAACUAACUCCAAAGCCACCUAUCAAAGUUCAUGAAGGUUUUAGUUAGGAACUGGUGGUUUUGUUGUUACAGAUACUUCAGUUAUUCAGACUGUGAAUUUGAGUCACAGCCUACUAGGCAAGGCCCAUACUGAGAUACAAAGGAACUGAACUUUCUAAAUUAGAGGUGAGCAGCAUUUCUGAAGUGAUAGAUAAGGUCCUUGUACUACAUUCAUUCAGCAGAUAUUGAUUGUGUGCCCAUGAAUCAGGCAUAUGUGUAGGGCGUUAAUACAAAAGAAACUGGCCCCUACCCUCAAGAAGUUCACAGUCUAGUGAGGUUGACAGGCAUGCAGAUGAUAACAUAAUGGAGGCAUGCAAGAAAUGCUGUGGAAAAUUAAGACAGCACAGUCUGCCUGAGGAGAGUGGUCAACGUUUAAUAGAGGAGGAUGUGCUUGUGUUGGAACUUGUAGGAUGAGUAAUGGUGAAGGCAAAGGCUACUGUGGCUAGAGUCUAGUGCACGAUGAUGGAGAUGAGGUGGUCAGAACACGAGGGUUCUUGUAUGUCAAAGUAUGCUAGUUUUACACCAUACAUUUAUUAUUAUGAAUUCAGCUGCGAGGAACAGAAAUCUGCAAUUCAACUGGCUUAAACACUGAGGAAAAUUUAUUAGCACAUGUAAUAUGUUCAAAGGCAGUUCCAGGAUGACUGAAUUCAGUGGCUCGACUCUGUCAUUAAGGACUUAGGUUCUUUCCAUUUUUUUUGCUCUGCCAUCCUUGGUAUGAUGGUUUGCUCUCAGACUUGCUCUUCUCCUGAUCGCAAGGUGACCAAAGAGGAAGAGAGAUUUGUUUCUUUGUUUUUGAGGUUUGUUGGUGUUUGUUUUGUCUUGAUUUGUGUCUUUUCAAUCAGUAAGGAAAAUCUUUCCUAAGGAGCUCUCCUGCCACUCCCAUCAGACUCAUCCUCAUGCCUCAGUGGCCAAAAGUGCAUCACGUGCCCAAUCCUAAACCAUUCACUGGCAAGGGGAAUGCAACCACCAUUACUGGCUCAGACCAAUCUUGAUUCACUCCCUGGAAGAACUGUCCCACUUCUUCUGGAUUAUAUGGCCCAGGUAGAGGAUACUGGAACAAAAUUGGGUUUCCGAUAGAGAGUAGGAGAAAGGGAGACAAUUGAUUGCUGAGUUGGCAACCAACAGCAUUUGCUAUGGUAGAUGAUGAGAAACCAGUAUAGAUAAUUGAGCAGGAGUGGCAUGAUCAGUUAUGUUUAAAAAAAGUCCUAUCAGAAAUGUAGAGUUGAGCUUAAUAGACAGAAAAAUUGAGAACACAUGGAAUAGUCUUGUGAGCAGCCAAGGAACUGAUCAACACACAUGUGGAACUGGAGCUGAAACUUUUCUGGAGUCAUUCUUCUGUAGUGGUAGGAGGGGGUAUUUAGGGGUAGAAAGGCAACUAAUGCAGAACAGAGAUUUACCAAGAAGUUCCUUAUGGUACUGUGGCAAACAUGCAAGUUUUUAAAAAAAGGUUCAGAUGAUAAUGUGGUCCACUCAGAGGAGCCACUGUGGCGACAGAAUGCUAGCAUUUUGGAACUGGUAGUGAUCUUGAUGUCAUCUAGUUCAAGAUCUUUAUUUUACAAGUUACAGAACUGGGACCCAGGCAAGCAAAGUGAUUUGUUAAGUUCCUAUGUGUGGUCCAUGGCUGAACUAGAACCAUGCCCAUAGAUUUUCUGACUUUCAGCCCAGGGCACUUUGUAAUGGAUUCUCAGGGCCCUCUCAUGGGGUUUAAUGUGUCCAUUCGGGAGUGCUGUAGAAGCUCCACAGGCCCUCUUCCUAUGUUUCUCUUAUCCUUGACAACAAUUCUAUUGUUGGAAUUUUGUUGUUGUUGUUGUUGAAAUAUGGUUUUGGUUUCUAUAAAAAUGCAAAUAAUACUGAUAAGUAUAAUGUUUUAAGCUCUUAUCAUUCAUUUGGAUCUUAAAGUGAAUGUGUCCUUCUUGUUUUUUCUUUGAAGCAGAUUUUAAUGGGGGAUGGGAAUAAGAAAUUCAGGGUACUGGAAACAUAAAAGGAAAAAGGAGGCCCUAAGAAGAAUCCCGAAGAAGAGAAGCUGGAGGCUGAGGGUUCAUUACUUUGUUGAGGGUGUUUCUUAUGACACCAAAUAAGACCCAUGGUGCCUGAGAUACUAAUGAGAGGCAAUUGCCGUCCUAGUGUGAGGUGGGGCCUCUGGCCCACUUUUCUUGACAAUCUAAACAUCCAUUCACAAUGACCCAACUACACUUCUUCACUCUUUCCUUUGGUCUUCAAUGUGCCUAUGCCUAUCCUCCCCAGAACAUAUAUAGUUUUGGCUAAAAUUGCUAUGCAGAAAUUUUUGGAAAUUCACCCUGGUAGACAGAGCAUGACAGCAGGCAUUAAAAAAAAAAAAAGUUCAGUUAAAAACAAGAAAAUGGUUUGAGAAUCAAGCUCUUACUGAGAAGGAAUCUUAGCAUUUUGGAGCUGGAAGUGACCCUGAAGUCAUCUGGUUCAAGACCUUUAUUUUACAAAUGAGAAAACUGGGACCCAGACAAGCAAAGUGAGUUGUUAAGUUCCUCCUGUGUGUGGUCCAUGGCUGAACUAGAACCAUACCCAUAGAUUUUCUUCCCUUCAGCCCAGGACUCUUCGCAAUGGGUUCUCACCAAGCUUAAGUAAAGAUUGAUCUGUAAAAUCAAUUUAUUUCAACUUUACUUUUGAAAAUAGUCCAAAGUAUUAAUAUAUUAGUUUAUUUUUUUGGUGGUAUGCCAAACAUUAUAAAACUGCUAGUUUUAGAUGUAGACAGUGAGUAAAGAUUGAGCUAAAUCUUUAUAGAUUGUGGCCUUUUGGGGCAUUUGGUAAAAGAUAAUCCUAUUUCUGUAAAACAAAUACUGAAAAGAGAAAAAAAAAAGCACAUAUGUAUGUGUAUGUCCAUCUAAGAUUGUUUAAGCCUGGAAAAACAUGGAAGGAUAUAUAUGAAGUUGUUAUCAUGGGUUUGCCUGACAGUGCUGAUGCGGGUGGAAGAGGAGGGAUGGGAGAAGCUGUGCAAAUGUAUGAGAAAGGGACUAAAAAGGGAUGUCUAUUAUGAUAUUUAUAUAAAUUUAUUUCUAGGUGUGGCUGUAUAUUGAAAAAAUGAGUAAAAUACUUUAAAAAGUGAUCUGGAAAAUGAGAAAAGAAAAAUGAGUGUAAUUCUCAUGUGCGUUUAAAAUUAUAAUGUGUCAAAUGUUUGUCUAAAUUGGAUGAUCACUAAGAAUAAAAUUAAAUUGGAAAUUUUAAUUAAAGGUGCUAAAUUAAAGGUGCCAAUAUGUAGCUGGACAUACUCUUCUAUUUUCAAUUACAUUUUGUUUUACUUUCACCCACUUGCUAUGUAGUUUUUCAUCUCAUGCAUUUUUUUGAUACUUUAUGUCAGUAGUGGCUGAAUUGUAUUUGAAAAAUAUGUAUCAUAUAUAAUUACAUACACACAAUUAAAGCUAAGUUUAUUUCAAAA